rnacentral:lncRNA from 1 species
UUAAAUUACAGUCGCUUUUGUAAUUUCAAGGCUUCUACAUACGUAUCUAUGAGUUUAACUAACCCAUAUUCUUGGUAACAAAAAAAAAUGUAGACAUACGUAUUAUCUCUUACAGAAUCAUAAACAUCUUCUAGAAAGAAAAAAAGAAACUGGGCUAUAGGUCACAAUAAAAGAAGAAUUUGGGCCUACUGUGCGGCCCACACUAAGAUCAUCACAGAUGAUGAUUUCUUAUAUGGAUGGGGGAAAAGCGAAUAACAGACUACUUUUUCUCUCUCUCUUUUUCGUUUAUAUUUCUCGUCUUGAAAACUCGUUUGCGGAUGCUUUAGCCAAGUCGGCACUAGCUUAUAACAACGUUUACUCCACGAAUGGAGGUUAAUCUCUCUCUAAAAUUCAGCAGUUGAUCCACACUAAACAAAAAAAGAGACUAAUUUUCAAAGUUCAGUUUGUCGAAGUGAAACGAUUCGUUCAGUUUAUCAGUUUCUAGAUAAAAUCAUUUUGUAACUCAAAAUCUGUUUUAUUAUUGGAAAGUCGAAUCCAAUGAUUAUAUCUAAUCUACUUUUUAUGGAUAAAAUUUAAACAAUAGAAAUGCAAUUUCUAGCACUUAAUUAUAGUAGUAAAAAAGGAAAAAGAAAAGCGUUGUUGACUGUAAAACAAAAUUACUUGCUUAGCUUCGCCCCGCGACGUUUGCCGAUCAUCGGCCGUCUCCACGAUCUUCAGAUCCGCCGCCGACUCCGACGGUGUCUGGAAUCAUUUCUUACCUUCCGAAUUCCCCGACGGCUUUGCGGCACCUGAGGCUGAGGGUCUUCUUCCCAAUAGGAAAGGCCUCUUCUUCUCCCUCGUCCACAAUCCUCUUCUUCUCCCCGACGCCCUUUUGGUUUCUUUCUCCUCUCUCUUGUUACUUGCUACUUCCUUUAUCGACUCCAAUUAUAUCCGAUUUCCAGUUUGUUUUUAUGUCAAUUUAUUUAGCUGUCCAAUCUCAGAAACUACCAUGGGAUAUUUAUAAACAUAUGUGACAUUAAUCUUUUGGGUUUAAACAUACUAAAUGGCGGUCUUAAAUCUUUAAUAAUGCUUACUGAAGGAAUGUCUUUCUUUUUUUAAUAUGGUUCUCUACCCGAUAGCAAUUUCAAAACAAAGCAG